AGAGGCAACAGGCGAGCAACCAGGCUUCUCCAAUGCAAUGUGGCGAGAUUGCUCUCGUCACAGGGACCAAGGACAGAGCCUUGGGGGACUCCAAACGACACAGGAUGAGGGGAGGAGGUAUCAUUAGAAAAGGAGACACUGAAUGAGCGUUGGGAGAGAUAAGAGGAAAACCAUGAGAGGACAGAGUCACAGAGACUCAGUGAAUGAAGGGUUUGAAGAAGGAGAGCAUGAUCAACGGUGUCAAAGGCAGCAGAGAGUUCAAGAAGAAUUAGUAUGGAGUAGUGGCCUUUGGAUUUAGCUGCGAUUAGGUCGUUAGUAACUUUCAUAAGGGCAGUCUCUGUAGAGUGGAGAGGGCAGAAGCCAGAUUGAAGAGGGUCAAGGAGAGAGUUGGAAUUGAGGAAAUGAGUCAGACGGGUAAAGACAAGUCUUUCCAGAAGCUUUGAGGAAAAAGGGAGCAGGGAUCUAGGACGAUAGUUA